AAGCGAGAGACGUCAUAUUUAUCAUAAAUAUUGAUAGUUUUCACAGAGAAUAGCUUUGUAAUCUAUUUUUUUAUCAUAGUUAUCAAAGUUAAGGCUAUGCGCGCCACUUUUUGCUCCUGCCGGCUGCCUGCAGCCCUCAACGACAGCCAGGUAGGGGGAGGUGUGCGCGGUGUGUUGUAUUUUGACGCCGCAGGCAGAUUCAGCGGUAACGCGAGCUCAUCACACACUAUCAACUGCUCCUCCCUGAUGGUGAUGUACAUGCUCUGGUCUUCAAUGAGUCAGAUAAAUACAGCUGAGGCAUCAACAUCCCAUCACUAUGGCCAGCCUUCAACUCAGUGAACAGAGGUUAAGGCACUUACCUUCGGGACGAUAUUAUUUGAACCAACGCCGGUAAAGUGGCAUCCACAAUAUCAGGGACAUACCAUCUCCUCUGAAAAACGGGCAUGGAGCUCUGCUGACCGGGAGAAGAUGACAAUUGCUAUAGCCCUCGAGUAUUCGUGCAGAAAGAAAUCGGGGAGAAGCUGCAGUCAGAAAGUUCUGAACGAUUCUCACGGACACGCUGACCCAACUACAUCGGGAGCUCACCAUCAUGAAGGCGCUGUGUUGGAUGUAUGUCCGGUUGGAGGCCAGGGACUUUAUCCUGUCACCCUUCUUCUUCGCUGUGGUGACAAUCCCCUCUGUUACUGUUCCCUCAAAACCUGGAGGGUUGCCAAAGGCCAGGACACUCUCACCUGGCCACACAGCUAAAGAGCUCCCAAGCGUCACUGAGGUGGGCAGCUUUGUCAAAGGUGUAAAUAGAAAGAAUCACUAAAAAAUAUCUGCUCCUUCAGUCCAGAACUGCAGAAGGACAUAAAAAAACAAUAUGGUUCUAAAAAAUAAAAUGACCUGGACCCAUUUAGUUAAACCAGUGAGUUAGUAGAACCAAGUCAUCUUCAUCGUACAGAUGACAGUUUGGAUUGACCUUCACUGCUCACACAUACAGGAAGUGACACGGCUGCACCUGUUUCCUUUAUGUUUCUUAAUGACCAAUCACAGUGUCAUACUCUGAAUGUCAGAUGAACAUCACUCACCAAAUUUAUUAACGGACCCCCUGAGAAUCCUUGCUGAAAGAAAAACAGGAGAAGCUGCAGUCAGAAAGUUCUGAACGAUUCUCACGGACACACUGACCAACUACAACGGGAGUUUACCAUCAUGGAUGCACUGUGUUGGAUGUACAUCCGGUUUCCCAGGCCUUUAAGGUUCCUGCCGCUCCUCUUGGUCGUGCUUACUAUUCCGGUCAGCACUGUUCCAUUGAAAAUGGGAGGGCUCCCUAAGCUAAUAAUGCCCUCCCCUGCCCGGACAGCUAAGGAGCUUCCCACUGUCAUAGUGGGAAGCUUUGUCUGUGGGAGGGCGAUGAAGACAACGCAGAUUUGAGCAGAUCCUUGACACCACCUACCACAUCAGAGUGGAUCUCUGCCUAACAUCUACAGCUCCCUCUCCCUCAGUAAAGCCCAGAACAUCACCAGAGACGGCUUCCACCCUGGACAUUGCCUCUACUGCCCUCUUGGUGGCGAUACAGAUUAUUUUCAAACAAGAACAAAUAGACUAAGACAGCUUUCUUACCCCAGAGCGGUCUCAGCCCAUUGAAGAAUGUCUUCAGACGAGGCAGCAAUUGAGAUGCCAGCUUUAUAUUGUGCAUCCCAAAAACUUCCCUGUCCUGCGGAGCCAUACGGCAGAAAAAGGACUAUUAGGCAAUAAGAUGACAGUCUCUGUGGGCUUUACGUGCACACAUCCGUGUGUCGUUAAUCCCUGCUAUCAGUGUGCAUUAGAACGUGGCCAUCAAUCCAUGAACAUGGGCCGUUCACUAUGCCCAAAAUUCAUUGUCAUCAGGUACGAUGUGUGCCAAUUGUGGUGGGUACCGCUGACAGUUUGUGAUGUUUUACAGUUUCGAUGCAUUUUUUUUUUUUAGUUAUGUCAAUUCCAAAUGAAGGCCCUCUGUUAAGGCUGCUGCUGCUGGUUAGAAAAGGGAGGGAAAAGUUUGAGUUAUUAACCUGAUAACUCCUAAAGCACAUUGGUCCACUUCCAUGCAGCCAAUGUUCGCUACAUCAAAUCCAUACAUGAAGAACUCAAUUUUUCUGCAGCAAAAAGUGUUCAAACUGAGCCUGUUGUCUCUUUUGAAAACCUUUUAAUAAAUAUGUUGUGUAAAACCUGCUCAUGUUUUAGAAAAAAAUGUCUUGAUACAUUCUAUUUGUGUAUUUGUAUGACUUUUAUUUGACAUAAUUAUAGUCAUAAACUGCUUUCUCUGCC